GGGAGUGUUAUCGUUCCCCACAAGUGACGUCAUGUCACCUCCUGCUGCCGUGUGACGUCACGAGAUAACAGGAAGCUGCUGUUCCGCCCGUGCACUGAAAUUCGAGGUUUUUAUUUUUUACCAGGCCACGCCCGCGUUGAGCUGCUGUACCGUUCUUGUUUUCAGAAGCGACCUGCCCACAAUAACAACAAGCUGUCGCUUCCUCUGCAGAAUUUGUCUGAUGGAGCAAAGGCACUCGGCGCGGCUCGGUGCAAAAAGGCAACAAUGCGACCGGCGUGCAAACAGCACGGAUCGUACUGGAGAUUUGACACGGCCCCAGAGAAUACACACUGGAGAGAAACCCUUCAAGUGCAGUGUGUGUGGGAAGGCGUUUGCACGUUCAUCUGCUCUUAAAAAACACCAGAAAACACACACGGAAGAGAAACCCUUCAAGUGCAGUGUGUGUGGGAAGGC